CAACCUGCAAAGAAGAAUCUCAACAUAGUCAAGCUGCAAAGAAGACUUUGUCACAGACCUCUUGCCUGGUAGAAGCAGAAACCCAUCAAACUGCCUGGAAGAGGUUUGGAGCAACUGAGGUUCCUGGAAAGGGCACACUCCAACUGUUGGCUGACUGGAAGUUGUGACAUGUUCCAGUUCCCUGCUUUGUGAGCUGCCACCCAUAAUAGGGUGGGCUUUGGUGAUGCAGCUGUCUUCGAGUCACUUCUGUUCCUGUAAAUAACCAUCACCCAUAUUCCUCGUUGCUUUUAGGAGCCUUGCUGACCCAGGCUGCAACAUCACUGAAAAGUUCCACCCCAACAUGAUUUACAACUCUGAAUGCCUGCGUCACUAGAGUCCCCUGCACAGUACCGGGCAGUCAGCUACACCACUCAAUGGAAGAGUCCUCUCCUCCAUUGCUGGUCCCUGAUCACAUGGCUUAAAGGGUUCUUCUUGAAUAUCAUUGCAUGGAGACGCCCCCAUGAGCAUUCUUCAACUUCCAGGGCAACUUCAAGUGAUCCAUAUUAUGCUUGGAAGAAAGAUGGUGUCCUCAGGGUCUGUGGUACCCAGAGCUCACUAAUGUCUAAAGGAGGAACUAGAACUGGCUGGGGCCUCGCAGGUCCUAUAUUCUACCUCCAGAGAUUCUGACCUAUUCAACAAUCACAUGCUGAUGUUCAGAAAGCUGGCCAGACUUCAGAAUCAAGAAUCCUGAUCAUAACUUGACAAAAACACUUAGGAGUAUGGAACCUAUCAAGCAAAACUCUCCAGGCAAUGAGACACGUGAAAGCUUUUAUUUUAUAUAUUUUUCAACCCCAUGUUUAAGAUAACUGUUUCAUUUGAGCUGGACAAACAUCUAUGGUCGGGAGCACCAGUGUUUUGCUCCCGUGCUCUCCCUGAGAAAUGGAGACUGGCGGAGGCUUCUCAAGCAAUACAAUGUGAAAGUGCCAUGUCAGGUGUCCAAGGACAAUCUUUGUGUUUCCUAAAACUAAAA
rnacentral:lncRNA from 1 species